CAGGCCAUGUGCUUCCUUGUUAGUUACGAGGCUCUGGGAUUAAGGCUGGGGAAGGGACAAGAAUCUCGUGAGCAAAGUGAGUAUUUUGGGUGCCGUUACAAUGGGUGCCUUGUAGUUGCAGUUGUAACGUAGUAAUGGGAGAUGGGUUGAGGAUGGAGCCGUGGGAUAAGGGAGAUGUGAAAUGAAGGUGACUACGCGACGUUGCAGAUGAAGAUGCUAAUUUUUUUUUGUUUCCCGCCUCCCGCUGGGUUUAGUACCAAGGGAAACGAAGUCACGCGUCAGAGUCUACUGCCCUCAUGCGAUGGAAAGCGAGCGAGAGCGUCGAGACUCUGAGCAUUGUUGAUGCCACGCAAAAGCCGUCCCUCUGGGAGCUGAGGAGACGCUGCUGUCAGUGAGAUAAGUGUCUGGUUUCAUGAGGGCUCUGCUCACGCCCAACCUGAGUCCAGGUAGAGAAGCCCAGUACAGUAGGGCUGGGUUUGUAUGAAAAGGUUCCUGACUAGCUGUGGUCACGAGGGAGAAACGGUCCCUAUUUUGAGAGAUUGCUCAUUUCUCUGGUCAGGAACGGUGUCUCCUCUGCAGCAGAAGGUUGCAUCCAGGAGGAUGACUCCACGUGGUGAGUGCUUACUUUCCUCCGAUGUUUUCCUUUCUCUCUCUCUCUCUCUCUCUCUCUCUUCUCUAGUACGUUGGCCAACACACAACCUCUAGCUCUCUCUGUCUGUCCUUGCCUUUCCUCGUGUUGUCUCCCUUCGUAAGACACGGGCAGGCGUGCUACGUGUGCAUCCCCACAGGCUUUGUCUCGGGAGCCAUGGAGAAGUAGGAGGGGACAAAAAUCAUGCAGGGGAGUGGGUGCGAGAGUGGAGCGGUGACUGUCGGUGUGAACUCGGUCUCUGUUCAUCGAGUGGAGCUGAUGUAGAUGGGACUGGAGAGGGAGGCAGGGAUGAGGGCAAGCCUCGACGCACCAAUAGAGCUCUGUGUAGUGAUAGUUCUUGCUUGACUUUAUUAGUUUGCAGAGGAAUCGUCCAGGAGCCCUAGCCGGACAAGAAUAUGGCAGAAGUGGACCUGAGCAGUCUGGACAUCCUUCUAAGGAGACAUGAAUAGGCCUCAUGUUUCCGCCUUCUGCAUCGCUGGCUGUGAGUAAGAGGACCGAGGGAAAAGAAGUCACGCCUCAGAGUCUCAAGCCCUCAUGUGAUGGAAAGCGAGCCAGAGCAACGAAACCGUGAGCAUUGUUGAUGCCACGCAAAAGCCGUCCUACUGGGAGGGGAACGGCCGCCACUCUCAGUGAGAUAAGUGUCUGGUUUGGUGAUUGCUGUGUUAACAGCCCACCUUGCUCCUGCUAGGGACGCCACAUGAGCUGGGGCUUGGUUUGUAAGAAAAUGUUCUUGACUAGCUGUGGUUAUGAGGGGAGCAAGGUCCUCAUUUUCAGGAUCUGCUCAUUUCUUUGGCCAGGAGUGGUGUCUGCUACGCAGCGGAAGGUUGCAUCUAGGAGGAUGACUCCAGGUGGUGAGUUGCUUGCCUUCCUCCCAGUCUGUCUCUCUCUCUUCUCUAAUGUGUUGGCCAACUUUCUCACUGAUUCUCCUCUCCUCUCCUCUCCUCUCCUCUCCUCUCCUCUCCUCUCCUCUCCUUGUGCCGUCUCCCUUCGUAGGACACGGGCAGGCAUGCUAGGUGUGCAUCCUAGCCAGGUCUCGGGAGCCAUGAAGAAGUAGGAGCAGACGAAAACCAUGUGGGGCAGUGAGCGCUAAAGUGGAGCUGUGACUGUCUGUGUUUACUCGGUCUCUGUUCAUCGAGUGGGGCUGAUGUAGAUGGGACUGGAGAGGGAGGCAGGGAUGAGGGCAAGAUUUCCAGCACCAAUAGAGCUCUGUGUAGUGAUAGUUUUUGCUUGGCUUUAUUAGUUCGCAGAGGAAUUGUCCAGGAGCUCUAGCCGGACAAGAAUAUGGCAGAAGUGGACCUGAGCAGCCUGGACAUCCUUCUAAGGAGACAUGAAUAGUCCUCAUGUUUCUGCCUUCUGCAUCACUGGCUGUGAGUAAGAGGUCAGUGCUUUUGAAUUCCUCAUCUGUACUCACUGUAGUUUUCUUCACAGGCCGUGUGCUUCCUCGUUGGGUAUGAGGCUCUGGGAUUAAGGCUGGGGAAGGGACAAGAAUCUCGUGAGCAAAGUGAGUAUUUUGGGUGCCGUUACAAUGGGUGCCUUGUAGUUGCAGUUGUAACGUUGUAAUGGGAGAUGGGUUGAGGAUGGAGCCGUGGGAUAAGGGAGAUGUGAAAUGAAGGAGACUACGCGACAUUGCAGAUGAAGAUGCUAAUUUUUUUUGUUUCCCGCCUCCCGCUGGGUUUAGUACCAAGGGAAACGAAGUCACGCGUCAGUCUACUGCCCUCAUGCGAUGGAAAGCGAGCGAGAGCGUCGAGACUCUGAGCAUUGUUGAUGCCACGCAAAAGCCGUCCCUCUGGGAGCUGAGGAGACGCUGCUGUCAGUGAGAUAAGUGUCUGGUUUCAUGAGGGCUCUGCUCACGCCCAACCUGAGUCCAGGUAGAGAAGCCCAGUACAGUAGGGCUGGGUUUGUAUGAAAAGGUUCCUGACUAGCUGUGGUCACGAGGGAGAAACGGUCCCUAUUUUGAGAGAUUGCUCAUUUCUCUGGUCAGGAACGGUGUCUCCUCUGCAGCAGAAGGUUGCAUCCAGGAGGAUGACUCCACGUGGUGAGUGCUUACUUUCCUCCGAUGUUUUCCUUUCUCUCUCUCUCUCUCUCUCUCUCUCUUCUCUAGUACGUUGGCCAACACACAACCUCUAGCUCUCUCUGUCUGUCCUUGCCUUUCCUCGUGUUGUCUCCCUUCGUAAGACAUGGGCAGGUGUGGUACGUGUGCAUCCCCACAGGCUUUGUCUCGGGAGCCAUGGAGAAGUAAGAGGGGACAAAAAUCAUGCAGGGGAGUGGGUGCGAGAGUGGAGUGGUGACUGUCUGUGUGAACUCGGUCUCUGUUCAUCGAGUGGGGCUGAUGUAGAUGGGACUGGAGAGGGAGGCAGGGAUGAGGGCAAGACUCGACGCACCAAUAGAGCUCUGUGUAGUGAUAGUUCUUGCUUGACUUUAUUAGUUUGCAGAGGAAUCGUCCAGGAGCCCUAGCCGGACAAGAAUAUGGCAGAAGUGGACCUGAGCAGUCUGGACAUCCUUCUAAGGAGACAUGAAUAGGCCUCAUGUUUCCGCCUUCUGCAUCGCUGGCUGUGAGUAAGAGGACCGAGGGAAAAGAAGUCACGCCUCAGAGUCUCAAGCCCUCAUGUGAUGGAAAGCGAGCCAGAGCAACGAAACCGUGAGCAUUGUUGAUGCCACGCAAAAGCCGUCCUACUGGGAGGGGAACGGCCGCCACUCUCAGUGAGGAAAAAAAUGUCUGGUUUGGUGAUUGCUGUGUUAACAGCCCACCUUGCUCCUGCUAGGGACGCCACAUGAGCUGGGGCUUGGUUUGUAAGAAAAUGUUCUUGACUAGCUGUGGUUAUGAGGGGAGCAAGGUCCUCAUUUUCAGGGUCUGCUCAUUUCUCUGGCCAGGAGUGGUGUCUGCUACGCAGCGGAAGGUUGCAUCUAGGAGGAUGACUCCAGGUGGUGAGUUGCUUGCCUUCCUCCCAGUCUGUCUCUCUCUCUUCUCUAAUGUGUUGGCCAACUUUCUCACUAACUCUCCUCUCCUCUCCUUGUGCCAUCUCCCUUCGUAGGACACGGGCAGGCAUGCUAGGUGUGCAUCCUAGCCAGGUCUCGGGAGCCAUGAAGAAGUAGGAGCAGAAGAAAACCAUGUGGGGCAGUGAGCGCUAAAGUGGAGCUGUGACUGUGUGUGUUUACUCGGUCUCUGUUCAUCGAGUGGGGCUGAUGUAGAUGGGACUGGAGAGGGAGGCAGGGAUGAGGGCAAGACUCGAUGCACCAAUAGAGCUCUGUGUAGUGAUAGUUUUUGCUUGACUUUUAGUUUGCAGAGGAAUCAUCCAGGAGCUCUAGCCGGAAAAGAAUAUGGCAGAAGUGGACCUGAGCAGCCUGGACAUCCUUCUAAGGAGACAUGAAUAGUCCUCAUGUUUCUGCCUUCUGCAUCACUGGCUGUGAGUAAGAGGUCAGUGCUUUUGAAUUCCUCAUCUGUACUCACUGUAGUUUUCUUCACAGGCCGUGUGCUUCCUCGUUGGGUAUGAGGCUCUGGGAUUAAGGCUGGGGAAGGGACAAGAAUCUCCUGAGGAAACUUUAGUACCAAGGAAAACGAAGUCACACGUCAGAGUCUACUGCCCUCAUGCGAUGGAAAGCGAGCAAGAGCAUUGAGACUCUGAGCAUUGUUGAUGCCACACAAAAGCCGUCCAUCUGGGAGCUGAGGAGACGCCGCUAUCCGUGAAAUAAGUGUCUGGUUUGGUGAGGGCUCUGUUUACGCCCAACCUGAGUCCAGGAUGGGAAGCCCACUAAGUUAGGGCUGGGUUUGUAUGAAAAGGUUCCUGACUAACUGUGGUUACGAGGGGGAAAAGGUCCCUAUUUUCAGAGGUUGCUCGUUUCUCUGGUCAGGAACAGUACCUCCUCCGGAGUGGAAGGUUGGAUUCAGGAGGAUGACUCCAGGUGGUCAGUUGCUUACCUUCCUGCCACUUUUUUUCCUUCUCUCUCUCUCUCUCUUCUCUAGUGUGUUGGCCAACUUUCUCAUUCUCUUUUCUCUCUGUUCCUCGUGCCGUCUCCCUUCGUAGGAGACGGGCAGGCUUGCUAGGUGUGCAUCCCCGCAGGCCAGGUUUCGGGAGCCAUGGAAAAGUAGGAGGGGAUGAAAAUCAUGCAGGGCUGUGUCUGUUGGUGUUAACUCGGUCUCUGUUCAUCGAGUGGGGCUGAUGUAGAUGGGACUGGAGAGGGAGGCAGGGCUGAGAGCAAGAUUUCCAGCACCAAUAGAGCUCUGUGUAGUGAUAGUUUUUGCUUGGCUUUAUUAGUUUGCAGAGGAAUUGUCCAGGAGCCCUAGCCGCACAAGAAUAUGGCGGAAGUGGACCUGCGCAGCCUGGACAUCCUUCUAAGGAGACAUGAAUAGUCCUCAUGUUUCUGCCUUCUGCAUCGCUGGCUGUGAGUCAGAGUACCAAGGGAAACGAAGUCACGCGUCAGAGUCUACUGCCCUCAUGCGAUGGAAAGCGAGCGAGAGCGUCGAGACUCUGAGCAUUGUUGAUGCCACGCAAAAGCCGUCCCUCUGGGAGCUGAGGAGACGCUGCUGUCAGUGAGAUAAGUGUCUGGUUUCAUGAGGGCUCUGCUCACGCCCAACCUGAGUCCAGGUAGAGAAGCCCAGUACAGUAGGGCUGGGUUUGUAUGAAAAGGUUCCUGACUAGCUGUGGUUACGAGGGAGAAAAGGUCCUUAUUUUCAGAGGUUGCUCAUUUCUCUGGUCAGGAACCGUGUCUCCUCUGCAGCAGAAGGUUACCUCCUGGAGAAUAACUCCAGGUGCUUGCUUUCCUCCCAUGUUUUUCUCUCUCUCUCUCUUCUCUAUUAUGUUGGCCAACACACUCUCCUCUCCUCUCCUCUCCUCUCCUCAUUCCCGUUUGUAGAACACUGGUUGGUGUGCAUCCCCACAGGCCAGGUCUCGGGAUCCAUGGAGACAUAGGAGUGGAAGAAAAUCAUGCAGGGCUGUGGGCGCUAAAGUCGAGCUGUGACUGUUGGUGAUAACUUGGUCUCUGUCCAUCGAAUGGGGCCGAGGUAGAUGGGAUUGGAGAGGGAGGCCAGGAUGAGGGCAAGAUUUGAAGCACCAGUAGAGCUUUGUGAAGUGAUGGCUCAUGUUUGGCUUUUGCAGCUGCGCUUCCAGGGGAAUUUUCCAGGAGCCCCAGCCUGAGGAGAAAGUGGCAGAAGUGGACAUGAGUGGACAGACUGGACAGCCUUGUAAGCAGACAUGAACUGUCCUCAGUUUUCUGACUUCCGCAUAACUGGCUUACCGAGGGAAAAGAAAUCAAACCUCAGAGGUUACUCCCCUCGUCGGAUGGAAAGCGAGCGACAGCGGUGAGCCUGCCAGCAUUGUUGAUGCAAGUCAGGAAUCGACCAUUUGGCAGUGGAGCUGUCGCUACUGUCAGUGAGAUAAGUGUCUGGUUUGGUGAGGGCUCCAGGUAGGGACGCCCCGUUAGCUGGGGCUGGGUUUGUAAGAAAUUGUUUCUGACCGGCUGCACUUACGAGAGACAAGGCCCCCAUUUUCAGGGUCUGCUCAUUUCUCUGGCCAGGAGCGGUGUCUCCUACGCAGUGGAAGGUUGCAUCUAGGAGGAUGACUCCAGAUGGUGAGUUGCUUGCCUUCCUCCCAUUUUCUCUCUCUCUCUCUCUCUCUUUUCUCCGGUGUGUUGGCCAACUUUCUCACUCUCCUCUCUUCUCCUCGUGCCAUCUCUCUUCGUAGGACACGGGCAGGCGUGCUACGUGUGAAUCCCCACAGGCUAUGUCUCGGGAGCCAUGGAGAAGUAGGAGGGGAUGAAAAUCAUGCAGGGCUGUGACUGUCGAUGUUAACUCGGUCUCUGUCCAUCGAGUUGGGCCAACGUAGAUGGCAUUGGAGAGGGAGACUAGGAUGAGGGCAAGCUCUGAAGCACUAAUAGAGCUUUGUGCAGUGAUGGCUCAUGUUUGGCUUUUGCAGCUGCGCUUCCAGAGGAAUUUUCCAGGAGCCCGAUCUUGAGGAGAAAGUGGCAGAAGUGGACAUCCUUGUAAGCCGACAUGAACAGUCCUCCGCUUUCUGACUCCCGCAUAACUGGCUGUGAGUAAGUGGUCAGUGCUUUGAAUUCCUCGUCUGUGCUCGGUGUAGUAUUCUUCACAGGCCGUGUGCUUCCUCGUUGGGUACGGGAUUCUGUGAGAUUACGGCUGGGGAGGGGCCAGAGUCUGCUGUGCAGAAUGAUUAUUUCGGGUGCUGUUGCAAGGGGUGCUUUUUGGUUGUAAUGCUAAAGGUGGAAUGGAGAGGGUUGAGGGCGGAGGACUGCCCUGUCACCAUUUGCUACACCCACAAUUUCCCAUUCCUGGGUCUUUGGGAAAGGGAGUUGUGACAGAUGGGUUGGACUUUGUCAGAGUUUGAACCAGUGUUCCCUCUAAUUUUUCCUUCUCAUGUGUGGAAGGAAUUUUAUGUGCACCAAUAUGGAGGUGAUAUUACCUCCAUAUUGGUGCACGUAACAAAAUGCAUGUGGUGGGUGUGGGGCCGAGGCUUUGGGAGUGUGAGACGGGGCUCAGGGCUGGGGAAGAGUGAGGUGCGAGGGGGUGAGGGCUCCAUCUGGGGGUGUGGUCUCAGGGCUGGGGAUGAGGGGUUUGGGGUCCAGGCUGCCCUGGGACUACAGGAAGCGGGGGAGAGGACUCCCCGCAGCUCUCUCUCCCCGCAGCAGCACCUGGGCUGGGGGUAGAGGCACCUCUCCCUAAUGCGUCAGCUCCAGGGCUGGGGCCACAGGAUAGGUGCUUCUUCCCCAGCCGCAGCAGGUCCGGGGCUGGGGGAGAGGCAUGUCUCCGCGCCACAGCCCUGAGUCCCUGCACAGUGCUUAAUAUGCUGCUGCGCAGCUUAGAGGUAACUUAGUGAUUUCACACAAGUUGAAACCUAUUUUAAUACAUUUUUUCUAAAUUAGCAAAAUCUUGUUUUACUUGUGUGUAAAUUUUAAAAAGAGGUUUCACAGGAGCAACGGCUGUCCACCCCUCGCUUGGUCUAGAGUCAGCCAUUUCUGCCAACCAGCAAUUCAAGCACCAGUGAAGUCAUGUGAUCAUAAAAAUAGACUUGAUAAUGUUUUGGUUUUUAAUAAUGUAUUAAAUAUGGUAAAUGAGAGUCACAAUAAAACCCUAGGAAGUGUUAUAAGAAGAUAUGAAGGUUUCUUGAAAAGUUAAGAAUUAAAAGGUAUGAAACUCCAUUUCCUGGAGGUAAUGGGAAAGAGUGGCCAGUUCAGGGAAUCGGAACAGCUGAGCAGACCAAUUUGUGAACCUCUCUGUGCAGAUGUCACUUGUAUGUAAACACCUGAAUGAAGACUGUGAGUAUUUAAAGAGCAGGGUGUAUGCGGGGGAGAGGGAAGGUGUCAGAAACUCACUACAUCAUUUCAGAGAGGGAAGAGCAGCCUUGUCUAGACCUUCCCCGCUCCCCCCCACCACCUUCCUUUUGCCCCUGUUACUGUACAUGGUCAGCUUGCUCCAGCAUCCUCAACAGCAAAGUAACUGAUUCUGCUGGGGAGUGUUUUAGAACACUACAGCAGCUCGGGGGGGCUCUUGCUGUGGCUCAGGUGUGAUGUUCCAGGCUGUAAUCCUGACCAGUGUGGGGCUAUGUCACUUGACCUGCAACGAGGGGGGGGUGCACCUCACUGUGCUUCUCUGUUAUAGCUCUGACUUGGGUAGCUCACAAACAGCCUGUCAGCGUGAUGCUCCCUGCCCCCCUCCCCCCCCCAAGUGUCUGUGUGUGGCUACGACUCUGAUCCCAGAGCUUGUCAGCACUCACCAGUCACACUUUGGCUUCCAUCAGAUCUGGGCUACCACAUGCAGGGUGACCCCAACACACUCCCUGUCCUGAAUUUUACCCCAAAAACGUGUUGUGCACUGUCCAGCCAUCUCCUGGACAGGCCAGAUAGAUUAGGUCUGUUGUACCUCUAGGAGGUCAAUAUACAAAAAUCUGCCACCUUGUGGAUAAUUCCAUUUACAGUUCACAACACUGGAUUAGUUUUGGUUCAAGAAUAAAAUAAGUUUUUUUAACUACAUAGAGAGGUUUUAAGUGAACAAAAGUAAUAAGGCAUUAAAGAAGAAAUGGUUACAAGAAAAAAUAAAGAUAAAAUGCUUUCUAAACUUAACGAACUAGGCUUGUGAAGUCCCUUCCCACAGGUUCCAGUAAUAUUGCUGCCCAAACCCUCAGGCCAGGAUCUGCUUCCAGGGUCCAGCAGCUGUUUCUCUGAUCAUCUUAGGUGAAAGGGAGAUUAGGAGGGAGAGAGAACUUGGGUGUUUUUGCCCUUCCCUUUUAUAGCUCGGUCACCAUUUGAAAAACAUUUUCCUGAGUGUUCACCUUAGGUUAAGGGUUUUCUUGCUGAGAGCAUGGAAUUUGGUGGAAGAAGGAGGCUUUGUGCUGUUUCUGUUCAUCCGUGUAUACUGCUUCUUUCUUCCCUCUCUUAUCCUCUGUGGAAUCUGUUUACAGCUGAAAUGCAAAUUGAGGCAAACGCACAUCCCUUUCUUUAGGACAGGUGUGCUUGAUCACUUCCACCUAAUCAGGCUAUGUGAAUUGGAACUUGUGCUUUUAAUACCCUAUAGGUGGAAUUUCAUAACUUUACACAGACUGUUGCUACCGCCAUUUCACCAAAAUAGUAUUGAUCACUGAGUUUCAAAUGCUACCUCACAAGGCAUAUUUUGUCCAAAGAUUGUUACAAUAGUGUGUAGGGUGUGAAUACAGGGGUGCAUUUGGCCACUGUGGGUUGGGAAUUAUCCAUUUGUGAAGGGCUCGCUAACCUUACCCUUCCCUGGAAAUUGCCAGACAAUGAAGGGAAAUGGAGAAUUCUUGCUCCAAUCCUGAAUUGCUGGAAAUCCCAGGCUCGCUGGAGCUGGUUUGAUUUCCCAGUGGAGUCAGUUUUUCUCCCUGGUGGAUUAUGAUUUUCCCCAUUGUAGUUAGUUGCAAUUUGUCUACUUCCCCACAGACCCUCACUAGCUUCUCUAGGCGUUAUCUCAUUGCUUCAAAUUAAAACUGCUGCCCUUUGGGUCUGUAUGUUCUGGGGUAUUUGCUGUCAUGAGUGACUGUGCUGGCUUGGGCAGGUGCUGGGCAAGGUGGGGGUUGUAAAUUUCUGAUGAAGAAUGUAAAUAAAAUUACCCUGUGACAAACAGUG